rnacentral:lncRNA from 1 species
AGCUAUGUGGCAGUGGAAUGGUCUUCUUGACGGUUAAUUAGGUGGUGUCUAGACUAAAACACACAUGAAAUGCCAAUUUAUUAUCGAUUACAUGCAUUGUUAAGUGUUUAUUUCAGACAUUUUAAUUCUGAUAUAUUUUUUUAAAUCAUUUUACAUCAAAUAUGAGAAUUUAAGUCAACUCAGUGAACAUAGAUGUGAUAGAUAAUGCC